rnacentral:rRNA from 1 species
GACGAAGGUGGCAAGCGUUUAUUCGGAUUUACUGGGCGUAAAGCGCACGUAGGCGGAUUGUUAAGUCGGGGGUGAAAUCCUGGAGCUCAACUUCAGAAUUGCCUUCGAUACUGGCUUUCUAGAGGCUGGAAGAGGUUAGUGGAAUUCCCAGUGUAGAGGUGAAAUUCGUAGAUAUUGGGAAGAACACCAGUGGCGAAGGCGGCUAACUGGUCCAGAUCUGACGCUGAGGUGCGAAAGCGUGGGGAGCAAACAGG